rnacentral:rRNA from 1 species
CAGCCGCCGCGGGAAUACAGAGGGUGCGAGCGUUAAUCGGAUUUACUGGGCGUAAAGCGUGCGUAGGCGGCUUCUUAAGUCGGAUGUGAAAUCCCUGAGCUUAACUUAGGAAUUGCAUUCGAUACUGGGAAGCUAGAGUAUGGGAGAGGAUGGUUGAAUUCCAGGUGUAGCGGUGAAAUGCGUAGAGAUCUGGAGGAAUACCGAUGGCGAAGGCAGCCAUCUGGCCUAAUACUGACGCUGAGGUACGAAAGCAUGGGGAGCAAACAGGAUUAGAUACCCCCGUAGUCCCUGUCUCUUAUAU